GAAAAAAGCGAAAAUAUACCGUUUUUUGAUCUUCAUUUGUUUAUAACUAUGUAUAUCAUCAAAAUCGGCUGCAGGAAACAUAUAGGUUAUUAAUAUAGAUGUCCAUACUACUCAAAAAAUUUGGUUUCGGCCUGGAGGGGGAUGUGUAACGAGAAAAAUCUUAUUUCUCUGGAUUAACAUUGCACUUUUGAAACGGACCGGUGGAUGGGAUUACACAUAGUAUCAAGUUUUUAUUAUCACAAAUUUUCAUCCCACAAUUUAUAUAAACAAAAAAAAAACAUUUUCAUAAAAUUUUAA